rnacentral:rRNA from 1 species
GUCUGACGGAGCGACGCCGCGUGAACGAUGAAGGCCGUGAGGUUGUAAAGUUCUUUUCGAGAGGAGGAAUAAGGUUUGCAGGGAAUGGCAGACUGAUGACGUUAAUCUCGGAAUAAGCCCCGGCUAACUACGUGCCAGCAGCCGCGGUAACACGUAGGGGGCAAGCGUUGUUCGGAAUUAUUGGGCGUAAAGGGCGUGUAGGCGGCUUUACAAGUCUGACGUGAAAGAUCUCGGCUUAACCGAGGGAACGCGUUGGAAACUGUGAGGCUUGAGUAUAGAAGGGGACAUUGGAAUUCCAGGUGUAGGGGUGAAAUCUGUAGAUAUCUGGAAGAACACCGGUGGCGAAGGCGAAUGUCUGGUCAUAUACUGACGCUGAGACGCGAAGGUGCGGGGAGCAAACAGGUUUAGAUACCCUGGUAGUCCGCACAGUAAACGAUGUACACUAGGUGUCAGGUCAUAAGAUUUGGUACCGAAGCUAACGCAUUAAGUGUACCGCCUGGGGAGUAUGCUCGCAAGAGUGAAACUCAAGGAAAUUGACGGG